AUAUGGAAGAUGAUCUGGAUAAUCGCUACAACUCGAAUUGGGAUGCUAAAUGCAAUGGUCAAGGCCAUCGGUGGGUUGUGUUCAUUUAUCCAUCUCGAAGAUAGCACUCUACGGAGCAAGCACUCUGCUGCCUUGGUGGUACUAAUUCAAUCUUCACAGGAGGCAUGGGAACACUGGUGCCUAAUGUCCUCUACGUGGGGACUAUAGUUGUGGUUCUAAAAUUGGCUUUUCAGGGCACACCUAUCUUUUAGUAUUCCCCUCCCGGAUGAAGGUGAAGGAAAUUGAAGGUACACCUCUUCUGGAGGAAGAUUCCCUAAAAGCUUUGCUCCGGCUCCUGAGGCUAGCACAGGUACCAUUCAGUUUGAGUAACUUCAGUUUGGAUAGAUCUCGAGUUGUGUCUAGACCAGAUACAUGAAAAUUUUUUUGCACAUACUACAAGUGGAUCAACUGUUGCUGGAGUUGAUGUUACUCCUCCUCCAUCUUCUGCAAUUGUACUUUCAACUGGAAAUGGCAAUUCAAUUAUGCAAGGGAUUUA